UCUCUCAUGUCUUUCUUUUGACUCCCAUGCGAUUACCAUUGUUGUGCCUCGUCUAAUAUCUGAAAGGUCCUCAACUCGUUUAUCCAUUGGUGGCUUACUCAAGUGUAGGCUUAGGAUGACAUUAUUUCAUGUUGGUGAUGGCUCAGAUCGGAGACUUCAUCAUUAAUGCUCUCUCAACUUACCUAUGCCGAGUAGGGGCAUCACACCAA
rnacentral:lncRNA from 1 species